GCGGCGGUCGCCACGCACACCGACACCAGCCCCGCCAGCAGAGGGUCCAGGAGGGAGCUGGGUCCCGGACCCUGGAAGGCUGCGAGGGGAGGGAGACGGGGAGAACACAGGAACUGGGGUUUUCAAACGGCUCACAUCUCGGUCAUAGAAGGGGACCACAUCGGUGGCAAGGUGAGAUUUGUAUGAGGAAUUUAUUGAAUUGUUGAACAUUUGAAUGAUCUAGAUCAGCGGUCCUCAAACUGUGGGUUGCGUGUGACACAAAAGGUAGUGCAGGUAGUUAGGAUCCAGAUACAGGUAGUGGAUGAUCCAGAUCCAUAGGAUCCAGAUACAGGUAGUGGAUGAUCCAGAUCCAUAGGAUCCAGAUACAGGUAGUGGAUUAUCCAGAUCCAUAGGAUCCAGAUACAGGUAGUGGAUUAUCCAGAUCCAUAGGAUCCAGAUACAGGUAGUGGAUGAUCCAGAUCCAUAGGAUCCAGAUACAGGUAGUGGAUUAUCCAGAUCCAUAGGAUCCAGAUACAGGUAGUGGAUUAUCCAGAUCCAUAGGAUCCAGAUACAGGUAGUGGAUGAUCCAGAUCCAUAGGAUCCAGAUACAGGUAGCGCGUUACAGGUAGUGCAUAGUCCAGAUCAGAUACAGGGAGUGCAUUAGUCCAGAUCCAUCGGAUUCAGAAUGAGUUAGUGCUGAGCCCCAAUAGUAGAUAUAAUAUUAAAGAUUGUACUUUUUUUAAAUAAAAAAUACAAUUACAAAACUA